rnacentral:rRNA from 1 species
AGUGAACGCUGGCGGUAGGCCUAACACAUGCAAGUCGAACGGCAGCACAGUAAGAGCUUGCUCUUACGGGUGGCGAGUGGCGGACGGGUGAGGAAUACAUCGGAAUCUACUUUUUCGUGGGGGAUAACGUAGGGAAACUUACGCUAAUACCGCAUACGACCUACGGGUGAAAGCAGGGGAUCUUCGGACCUUGCGCGAUUGAAUGAGCCGAUGUCGGAUUAGCUAGUUGCCGGGGUAAAGGCCCACCAAGGCGACGAUCCGUAGCUGGUCUGAGAGGAUGAUCGGCCACACUGGAACUGGGACACGGUCCAGACUCCUACGGGAGGCAGCAGUGGGGAAUAUUGGACAAUGGGCGCAAGCCUGAUCCAGCCAUACCGCGUGGGUGAAGAAGGCCUUCGGGUUGUAAAGCCCUUUUGUUGGGAAAGAAAAGCAGCAGGUUAAUACCCCGCUGUUCUGACGGUACCCAAAGAAUAAGCACCGGCUAACUUCGUG